rnacentral:rRNA from 1 species
GACGAACGCUGGCGGCGUGCUUAACACAUGCAAGUCGAACGGAAAGGCCCUGCUUGCAGGGUGCUCGAGUUGCGAACGGGUGAGUAACACGUGGGUGAUCUGCCCCUUACUUUGGGAUAAGCCUGGGAAACUGGGUCUAAUACUGGAUAGGACCAUUCUGUAGGUGGUGUGGUGGAAAGAUUAGUUUCGGUAAGGGGUGAGCUCGCGGCCUAUCAGCUUGUUGGUGGGGUAAUGGCCUACCAAGGCGUCGACGGGUAGCCGGCCUGAGAGGGUGGACGGCCACAUUGGGACUGAGAUACGGCCCAGACUCCUACGGGAGGCAGCAGUGGGGAAUAUUGCACAAUGGGCGCAAGCCUGAUGCAGCGACGCCGCGUGGGGGAUGACGGCCUUCGGGUUGUAAACUCCUUUCAGCCAUGACGAAGCCCUUGUGGUGACGGUAGUGGUAGAAGAAGCACCGGCUAACUACGUG